rnacentral:rRNA from 1 species
GACGAACGCUGGCGGCGUGCUUAACACAUGCAAGUCGAGCGGAAAGACCCUGCUUUUGCUCGUUUCUCGUGUGGCGAGCGGGGGAGUAAAACACGUGUAUCCCGUCCUUAUCUUUCUGAUAUCUUUUCGGAACUCCGGCUAUUACCGCAUAUAAUCUCCUGCUCCGUGUUGUUCGAUAGUGAGUUUCGGCGGUUGGGUAUGGACUCGCGGGUUAUCAGCUUGUUUGUGGGGUAGGGGAUUACCAGGCCUGUGACGGGUAGCCGGCCUGAGAGGGUGACCGGCCACAUUGGGACUGAGAGACGGCCCAGACUCCUACGGGAGGCAGCAGUGGGGAAUAUUGCACAAUGGGCGGAAGCCUGAUGCAGAAACGCCGCGUGCGGGAUGACGGCCUUCGGGUUGUAAACCGCUUUCGCCUGUGACGAAGCGUGAGUGACGGUAAUGGGUAAAGAAGCACCGGCUAACUACGUG